UGGCCCAGAUCGUUUACCGUGAAAAAAUUAGAGUGUUCAAAGCAGGCAGAUCCAAUUUUCUGCCACCGAAUACAUUAGCAUGGGAUAAUGGAAUAGGACCCUGUCCUCCUAUUUUCAGUUGGUUUGCCGCGAGGACCAGGGUAAUGAUUAAUAGGGAUAGUUGGGGGCAUUAAUAUUUAAUUGUCAGAGGUGAAAUUCUUGGAUUUAUGAAAGAUUAACUUCUGCGAAAGCAUCUGCCAAGGAUGUUUUCAUUAAUCAAGAACGAAAGUUAGGGGAUCGAAGACGAUCAGAUACCGUCGUAGUCUUAACCAUAAACGAUGCCGACCAGCGAUUAGGAGACGUUGAAUACAAAACACCACCAUGCGCAUUGCGGUCGUCUUUGGUGUCGCUCACAAGGCGGCACCGGGGCUAGGUCCCAACGGGCC
rnacentral:rRNA from 1 species